AUUGAACGCUGGCGGCAGGCCUAACACAUGCAAGUCGAACGGUAACAGGAAACAGCUUGCUGUUUCGCUUUCGAGUGGCGGACGGGUGUGUAAUGUCUGGGAAACUGCCUGAUGGCGGGGGUUAACUACUGGAAACGGUAGCUAAUACCGCAUAACGUCGCAAGACCAUAGUUGGGGACCUUCGGGCCUCUUGCCUUCCGAUGUUCCCAGAUGGGAUUAGCUAGUAGGUGGGGUAACGGCUCACCUAGGCGACGAUCCAUAGCUGGUCUGAGAGGAUGACCAGCCACACUGGAACUGAGACACGGUCCAGACUCCUACGGGAGGCAGCAGUGGGGAAUAUUGCACAAUGGGCGAAAGCCUGAUGCAGCCAUGCCGCGUGUAUGAAGAAGGCCUUCGGGUUGUAAAGUACUUUCAGCGGGGAUGAAGGGAGUAAAGUUAAUACCUGUGCUCAUUGACGUUACCCGCAGAAGAAGCACCGGCUAACUCCGUG
rnacentral:rRNA from 1 species